rnacentral:rRNA from 1 species
AAUACUGUUGGACUAGAGUACGGCAGGAGAAAACGGAAUUCCCGGUGUAGUGGUAAAAUGCGUAGAUAUCGGGAGGAACACCAGAGGCGAAGGCGGUUUUCUAGGUUGUCACUGACACUGAGGCUCGAAAGCGUGGGGAGCGAACAGAAUUAGAUACUCUGGUAGUCCACGCCUUAAACUAUGGACACUAGGUAUAGGGAGUAUCGACCCUCUCUGUGCCGAAGCUAACGCUUUAAGUGUCCCGCCUGGGGAGUACGGUCGCAAGGCUAAAACUCAAAGGAAUUGACGGGGGCCCGCACAAGCAGCGGAGCGUGUGGUUUAAUUCGAUGCUACACGAAGAACCUUACCAAGAUUUGACAUGCAUGAAGUAGUGAACCGAAAGGGAAACGACCUGUUAAGUCAGGAGUUUGCACAGGUGCUGCAUGGCUUGUCGUCAAGCUCUGCCCGUGAGGUGUUUGGUCAAAGUCCUGCAACGAGCGCAACCCUUGUUGCUAGUUAAAUUUUCUAGCGAGACU